GGGGUUGUAACUCAGUGGUAGAGUGUUUGCUUGGCAUGUGAAAAGCCUGGAUUUUAAUCUCCACAUCUCUA
rnacentral:tRNA from 1 species